rnacentral:rRNA from 1 species
AGAGUUUGAUCAUGGCUCAGGAUUAACGCUGGCGGUAUGCCUAAUACAUGCAAGUCGAACGAAAAUCUUCGGAUUUUAGUGGCGAACGGGUGAGUAACGUAUGUUUAAUCUACCUUGUAGUUUGGAAUAACCAUUGGAAACGAUGGCUAAUACUGAAUACUAUUUAUAAUGGAAUCUUUAUAAAUUAAAAGGGGCGUUUGCCCCGCUAUAAGAUGAGAACAUAUUACAUUAGCUAGUUGGUAGGGUAAAGGCCUACCAAGGCAAUGAUGUAUAGCCGAGCCGAGAGGUUGAUCGGCCACAAUGGGACUGAGACACGGCCCAUACUCCUACGGGAGGCAGCAGUAGGGAAUUUUUCACAAUGGACGAAAGUCUGAUGAAGCAAUACCGCGUGAGGGAAGACGGUUUUAGGACUGUAAACCUCUGUUAUAAGGGAAGAAUAUGUCGGAGAGGAAAUGCUCCGUGCAGUGACGGUACUUUAUUAGAAAGUCACGGCUAACUAUGUGCCAGCAGCCGCGGUAAUACAUAGGUGGCAAGCGUUAUCCGGAUUUAUUGGGCGUAAAGAGUGCACAGGUGGUUAUAUAAGUUUGAUGUUAAAGACCGAAGCUCAACUUCGGUUCGCAUUGAAAACUGUAUAACUAGAAUGCAGGUGGGAAUAGUGGAAUUUGAUGUGUAGCGGUGGAAUGCAUAAAUAUAUCGAGGAACACCAGUGGCGAAGGCGGCUAUUUGAACUGUAAUUGACACUUAAGCACGAAAGCGUGGGGAGCAAAUAGGAUUAGAUACCCUAGUAGUCCACGCCGUAAACGAUCUAGAUUAGAUGUCGGAAUUAUUCGGUAUCGCAGCUAACGCAUUAAAUCUAGCGCCUGGGUAGUACGC